CAGAGCUGCCCUGACCAAGAGCAUAAGAAAGUGCCACAGUCAUGAUGAGUUGGCAAGUUUACAGUGAGUAUGGGGAAAGGAAGCACUUUACCAGAGCUCUGAAAGAGCUCCCUAAAUAAAAGGUUUCUGAUGAGAGCUGAUAAAAGCCAGGUGCUCAACUGGAGGCAAGACAGACCUGAAGAAGCCUCAGCGUGGUGAGACCUCAGAUUUCUUAACUUGGAAAGGGCAAUCCAGAGAUAAAGCUGUUUGACUAGCUAAGACAUAUGGACAACAAAUGGAGUAAUCUUAUCAACGGAAUGAAAAGAAGAUACUUAUUUGUUGAGGAACAUUUUCAAGAAAAUAAAAGUAUGGCUUAUUUUAAGCAAUCUUAUCUUUGGCACGCCAGAAUCCAUGAAAUGAUAAAUUCCGUGGACAAACCUUUACUUUGCAUCUGUCCAGAAUUUCUGAAGAUGAGUACUUAAUGCAGCUUUGGAGGAUAAGGUAACAUAAGGCUAAAGUCAAUCCCGUCAGCAACCAUGGGAGAGUCUCUGGAAUAACAGAGGUAAGAAGGGCAGGAUGCUAAAAGCUGUGCAGCAGCAACUGUGGGUAGAGAGAGGACUAAGAAAGACUAUGUGAAAGGAACAGCUCUGCAGACACCAAGGUCAGUAGAGAAGGGCAGGACAUGCUCCAGGCACUGGAGCCAACAUUCCCCUGCAGCCUGUGGUGCAGCCCAAGGUGAGGCAGCAGUGCCUCUGCAGCUCAUGGGGUCCACAGGGAUGCAGAGAUCCACUUGCAGCCCAUGGAGGACAGCACACUGGAGCAAGUGGAUGCCUUAAGAAGGCUGUAUCCCUGUGGGAAGCUCUCACUGGAACAAGCUCUUGGCAGUGACCUCUGGACCUUUGGAAAGGGUCCUAGCCCAUGCUAGAGCAAGUUUGCUGGUAGGACUUGUGAUGCCAUGAGGGGCUCACACUGGAGCAGGCUGUCCCUGAAGGACUGGUCCCCAUGGGAAAGGAGCCUUGCUGGUGCAGUACAGGGAUCUGCACUGGUGCAGUCUGUGAAGAGCCAUAGCUUGUGGGAAGGCCCCAUGUUGGAGAACUUCAUGGAGAGCUGUGUUCCAUAGCAGGGACCCCACACUGGAAAGAGGGGAAAAGUGUGGGGUGUCCUUCCUCUGAGGAGGAAGGAUCAGCAGAUGCAAUGUGUAAUGAACUGACCAUAACCCGCAUCACCCAUCCAUCAGCAUUGCUCUGCAGAGGAGUUAGAGAACUUGGGAGUAAAGUUAAGCCGGAGAAGAAAGGAUGGCUGGGAGGAAGGUAUGUUAAAAUUCAGGGUUUUUUUCUCAUUAUCUUACUCUUAUUGACUGGUAAUAAAUUAGGCUAAUUUAUCUAA